UACAGAGGUCUCAAGCGUUUGUUCGGAUUCAUUGGGCGUAAAGGGUGCGUAGGCGGCGCGGUAAGUCGGGUGUGAAAUCUCGGAGCUUAACUCCGAAACUGCAUUCGAUACUGCCGUGCUUGAGGACUGGAGAGGAGACUGGAAUUUACGGUGUAGCGGUGAAAUGCGUAGAUAUCGUAAGGAAGACCAGUGGCGAAGGCGGGUCUCUGGACAGUUCCUGACGCUGAGG
rnacentral:rRNA from 1 species